rnacentral:lncRNA from 1 species
UGUUACAAUUAAUUAUUAAGCUAUAUUAUUAUUAUUAUUAUUAUUAUUAUUAUUAUUAUUAUUAUUAUUAUUAUUAUUAUUUUAUGAAUUAAAUAUAUUAAAAUUAUAUAUAUGUAAAAUAUAUUAUAAAAUUGAUAAGUAUACAGACAAUAUUAUAUAAUAAAAAUAUAUAAUAUUUAUAAAUAAAAAAUAAAAUAUGUAUAAUAAUUUUUCACCUUUAUAUAUAUAUAUAUAUAUAUAUAUAUAUAUAGAAUUA